rnacentral:rRNA from 1 species
CCCUUAGAUGUUCUGGGCCGCACGCGCGCUACACUGAUGCAUUCAACGAGCCUAGCCUUGACCGAGAGGUCCGGGUAAUCUUUGAAACUGCAUCGUGAUGGGGCUAGAUUAUUGCAAUUAUUAAUCUUCAACGAGGAAUGCCUAGUAAGCGUGAUUCAUCAAAUCGCGUUGAUUACGUCCCUGCCCUUUGUACACACCGCCCGUCGCUCCUACCGAUUGAGUGUGUUGGUGAGGAGUUUGGAUUGGCCUCGGAAGGUGGUUCGCCACCGUCCGUAGCUGAGAAGUUCUCCAAACCGCCCCACUUAGAGGAAGGAGAAGUCAUAACA